rnacentral:lncRNA from 1 species
GGAACUUCCAAGUGAAUAAGAAAUUAAAUGUUGGAAUGUAUAGAAUACAUGGAGCUCCUAGGAAGAAUUCUAGAAGCUUUCCACAAUAUUUUCAUACAUACUUCUCCUUAUCUUUAGGUAGAUCUUUGACAAAUAAGGCACCUUUGAGGACUGGAGAUCAGGACCGACCAGACCUCUGGGUAGAAGGCAGGGAGAUUAUGGCAACUCCAAAGAGAUUCACUGUUGUGGAGGCGGUGUUGGAGAUGAGGUGGAGGUAACAGCUAGAAACAGAAGUUUGCUGAAGGAGAGGAUUUUCAACCAACCCACCUAAUCUGGGAUGGCUUCCUGCAUGAGUCAGGGUACAUUUGAUGAAGGUUUUGAAUUAGGCAACAGAAAUAUGGAGGCUAUUAUUAUUAUUUCAGGCAUAUGGGACAGUGUGGAAAGGUGUUGAACAAUAAUUUCCAAACUUCCUGGAGUCUCCCUACUCUUUUUAAAACAAUUGACACACCUCCCCCUUCCACACCCACUCAAAAGUGCCGAGUUGCAUUUAUUUUUGAUAUUAUAAUUAUGAAUGAAAAAUAAUUUUGCUUUGAAAUGUUCUAGAAUCUACAAAACUGUCUGAGUUAGCUGGAGAAUAGUAUGGCCAAAAACCUGUGUUGGAAAACACUGGGUACAAUCUGAAAUAUAGGAAAUUAAAAAAAAAGAGUACUAAGGUAAAAUUUGAUGAUGAUAUUUUAAUGGAAAUAGGAAAGAAGAUGAAUUCUGGAGGUUCCUUUCAGCCCUAGGUCUCAAGGAUGGGGCUAUUUUAUAAUUAGUUUUUUGUUUUGUUUUGUUUUGUUUUUGGUUAGGCAAUGGGGUUAAGUGACUUGCCCUGGGUCCCACAGCUAUUUAGUGUUAUGUGUCUGAGGCUGGAUUUGAACUCAGGCCCUCCUAUAAUUAGUUUCUUGAUAAUUACCCUAGGAUCCUAAUAUAAAAUUUUACAUGUAUAAAUAUAUAUUGUGAUAUAUCUUUGUAUACACACAAAUACAAGUAUUUCAAAUCAAUUGAAUUCAGAAACGCAUUUAUUAAAAACCUACUGUGCAAAGCAUUGUGCUGGAUUCUGGGGAUAAAGACAAAAAUAAAACAAUUCCUCCAUUCA